UUCAACAUUGGAUAUUUUCCAAAUUGGAAUUGUCAGAUUUACUCCACAGGUCAAUGUUCCUGAUCAGUAAACUAUACCCAAUCAAGCACAAAGU